GCCAGCAUAGCUCAAUGGCAGAGCAACUGUUUUGUAAACAGUAGGUUGGAGGUUCAAAUCCUCCUGCUGGCA
rnacentral:tRNA from 1 species